UGGUUAACUAAACUUGGAGGAAGAGAGAGAGAGAGAGAGAGAAAGCGGGAGGAUUGGUUGCUGGAUUUACCUUUUAACCCUUCAUGAUAAAUUUCCUUUCUUGAUCAAACCUUCAUGUCAUGAUAUUUCUAGAUCGACUUACUGACUAUCUGAAUCUUUUUAUUGAAGUUUUUUUAUUUGUUGCUGACCUUACAAUAAAAACUUAUUAGGAGGAUAAUUUUAUGGGCCUUAUCCUUCACGGGAAAACUCCAACCGCCGCCAUUGUGAGCAUGUGUAUAUCUACGCCCACGCCUUUCUUCUUUCCAACGGAAAUUUAAAACUUAACAGCCAGUAACAGACAAUUUCCACCUCCACCGCUUCUUUUCAGGCCUUCAAUGGCAGCUCAAUCUCUUCCCAAAACCCUAAUUAUUUCUUCAACCCAAAACCCUAAUAUCAACCGAUCUUCCUUGAACAUCGUCAAGUCGAUGGCCACAACGGAGAGAACACCAACAACGACUUCCACAACCAUCCUAGCUCCGAAGCAGAGACGAACCAUGUCUGCCUUCGAAGCUCGAAUCUCCCUCGUUUUAGCUCUUGCUUCUCAAGCUUCUUCCGUCUCUCAACGACUUUUGAUGGACUUGGCUUCGGAGACUGCCAAAUACGUGUUUCCAAAGAGGUUUGAGGGCCGGAAUUUGGAGGAAGCAUUAAUGGCAGUCCCGGAUCUUGAGACUGUAAGGUUCAAGGUUUUGAGUAGGACAGACCAGUAUGAGAUAAGGGAAGUAGAGCCUUAUUAUAUAGCUGAGACAACAAUGCCGGGGAAGACUGGAUUUGAUUUCAAUGGUGCAUCUCAAUCCUUCAAUGUUUUAGCUGAGUACCUGUUUGGUAAGAAUACGAGUAAGGAGAAAAUGGAGAUGACUACCCCUGUUUUUACAAGUAGGACUUCUGAUGGGGAGAGGAUGGAAAUGACCACACCUGUGAUAACAAAGAAGGUGGAAAAUCAAGAUAAGUGGCAGAUGUCUUUUGUCAUGCCAUCAAAGUAUGGUUCCAAUCUGCCAUUGCCUAAAGAUCCUUCUGUGAGGAUCAAAGAGGUGCCAAAGAAAGUAGUUGCGGUUGUUGCCUUCUCAGGUUUUGUUACUGAUGAAGAAGUUAAACAACGGGAACUGAAAUUCCGAGAUGCUCUGAAAAAUGACAGGCAGUUUCAAGUUAAAAAAGUGGCUUCAGUAGAAGUUGCACAGUACAAUCCACCAUUUACACUUCCAUUUACCCGCCGUAAUGAGAUUGUGUUGGAAGUAGAAAAGAAGGAAGAAUAGCUCCGGAUUAGGGAUUUUAGAACCCUGAGCGUAAGAUCAGCUUGGAUCCCGUAGGACCACCAAAAGUGUUUGACCAUGGUGCUCCACAGACGGGGCUCUGUCGUUGACUCCAUAAACGCAAUGUUGACUAUUUCCUUACAGCAGUUUCAUCAACAACAUUCGUGUUUCAUCUCUCUUGAGCUAUUCUGCAUCUGUUGUUUCUGAGAACGAGAUUCCACCUGGCCAAUAUUGUUUA